GAUGAAGAACGCAGCGAAAUGCGAUACUUGGUGUGAAUUGCAGAAUCCCGUGAACCAUCGAGUCUUUGAACGCAAGUUGCGCCCGAAGCCACUAGGCCGAGGGCACGCCUGCCUGGGCGUCACACGUCGUUGCCCCCCCCCCAUCUACUCCUUCGGGCUUGCGGGGGGCGGAUGAUGGCCUCCCGUGCGCCUAGCCGCGCGGUUGGCAUAAAUACCAAGUCCUCGGCGACGCACGCCACGACAAUCGGUGGUUGCGAAACCUCGGUUGCCCGUCGUGUGCGUUCGUCGCGCAUCGAGGGCUCGAAAAAAUGCUCGGCUCCGGCUCGGCUUUCAACGCGACCCCAGGUCAGGCGGGGUUACCCGCUGAAUUUAAGCAUAUCAAUAAGCGGAGGA
rnacentral:misc_RNA from 1 species